rnacentral:miRNA from 12 species
AGUUCCAUGGAUGCAUCGAGCA